rnacentral:rRNA from 1 species
CCUACGGGAGGCUGCAGUAGGGAAUUUUCCACAAUGGACGAAAGUCUGAUGGAGCAACGCCGCGUGCAGGAUGAAUGCCUUCGGGUUGUAAACUGCUUUUAUAUGUGACGAUUAUGACGGUAGCAUAUGAAUAAGGAUCGGCUAAUUCCGUGCCAGCAGCCGCGGUCAUACGGAAGAUCCAAGCGUUAUCCGGAAUUACUGGGCGUAAAGAGUUGCGUAGGUGGCAUAGUAAGUUGGUAGUGAAAUCCUGGGGCUCAACCCCUUACACAUUACCAAAACUGCUAAGCUAGAGGGCGAGAGAGGUAGCUAGAAUUCCUUGUGUAGGAGUGAAAUCCGUAGAUAUAAGGAGGAAUACCGAUGGCGUAGGCAGGCUACUGGCUCGUCCCUGACACUAAGGCACGAAAGCGUGGGGAGCGACCGGGAUUAGAUACCCGAGUAGU